AGGCAGCAGUAGGGAAUCUUCGGCAAUGGACGAAAGUCUGACCGAGCAACGCCGCGUGAGUGAAGAAGGUUUUCGGAUCGUAAAACUCUGUUGGUAGAGAAGAACGUUGGUGAGAGUGGAAAGCUCAUCAAGUGACGGUAACUACCCAGAAAGGGACGGCUAACUACGUGCCAGCAGCCGCGGUAA
rnacentral:rRNA from 1 species